rnacentral:rRNA from 1 species
GAUGAACGCUGGCGGCGUGCUUAACACAUGCAAGUCGAACGGUGAAGGCGGAGCUUGCUCUGCUGGAUCAGUGGCGAACGGGUGAGUAACACGUGAGCAAUCUGCCCCUGACUCUGGGAUAAGCGCUGGAAACGGCGUCUAAUACUGGAUACGAGCUGCGAAGGCAUCUUCAGCAGCUGGAAAGAAUUUCGGUCAGGGAUGAGCUCGCGGCCGAUCAGCUUGUUGGUGAGGUAAUGGCUCACCAAGGCGUCGAGGGGUAGCCGGCCUGAGAGGGUGACCGGCCACACUGGGACUGAGAUACGGCCCAGACUACAACGGGACGCAGCAGUGGGGAAUAUUGCACAAUGGGCGAAAGCAUGAUGCAGCAACGCCGCGUGGGGGACGACGGCCUUCGGGUUGUAAACCUCUGUUAGCAGGGAAGAAGCGAAAGUGACGGUACCUGCAGAAAAAGCGCCGGCUAACUACGUG